AGGGGUAUCGCCAAGUGGUAAGGCACCGGUUUUUGAUAUCGGCAUCCGUUGGUUCGAAUCCAGCUACCUCUGCCA
rnacentral:tRNA from 1 species